GACGAACGCUGGCGGCGUGCCUAAUACAUGCAAGUAGAACGCUGAAGGAGGAGCUUGCUUCUCCGGAUGAGUUGCGAACGGGUGAGUAACGCGUAGGUAACCUGCCUGGUAGCGGGGGAUAACUAUUGGAAACGAUAGCUAAUACCGCAUAAGAGUAGAUGUCGCAUGACAUUUGCUUAAAAGGUGCAACUGCACCACUACCAGAUGGACCUGCGUUGUAUUAGCUAGUUGGUGAGGUAACGGCUCACCAAGGCAACGAUACAUAGCCGACCUGAGAGGGUGAUCGGCCACACUGGGACUGAGACACGGCCCAGACUCCUACGGGAGGCAGCAGUAGGGAAUCUUCGGCAAUGGACGGAAGUCUGACCGAGCAACGCCGCGUGAGUGAAGAAGGUUUUCGGAUCGUAAAGCUCUGUUGUAAGAGAAGAACGAGUGUGAGAGUGGAAAGUUCACACUGUGACGGUAGCUGACCAGAAAGGGACGGCUAACUACGUG
rnacentral:rRNA from 1 species